AUUGAACGCUGGCGGCGUGCUUAACACAUGCAAGUCGAUCGGUAACGCGGGGGCAACCCUGGCGACGAGAGGCGGACGGGUGAGGAACGCUUGGGAAUCUGCCUAUCAGCGGGGGACAACACGGGGAAACUCGUGCUAAUACCGCAUACGCUCUACGGAGGAAAGCCGGGGACCGCAAGGCCUGGCACUGAUAGAUGAGCCCAAGCCGGAUUAGCUAGUUGGCGGGGUAACGGCCCACCAAGGCGACGAUCCGUAGCUGGUCUGAGAGGACGAUCAGCCACACUGGAGCAGAGCAACAGUCCAGACUCCUACGGGAGGCAGCAGUGGGGAAUAUUGGACAAUGGGGGAAACCCUGAUCCAGCGACGCCGCGUGGGUGAAGAAGGCCUGCGGGUUGUAAAGCCCUUUCGGUAGGGACGAAAGCUCUCGACCUAACACGUCGGGAGGUUGACUUAACCUACAGAAGAAGCACCGGCUAACUCUGUGCCAGCCGCCGCAGUAACAC
rnacentral:rRNA from 1 species